AGAGUUUGAUCAUGGCUCAGAACGAACGCUGGCGGCAGGCCUAACACAUGCAAGUCGAACGCCCCGCAAGGGGAGUGGCAGACGGGUGAGUAACGCGUGGGAACCUACCUCGAGGUACGGAACAACCAAGGGAAACUUUGGCUAAUACCGUAUGAGCCCUUAGGGGGAAAGAUUUAUCGCCUUGAGAUGGGCCCGCGUAGGAUUAGCUAGUAGGUGAGGUAAUGGCUCACCUAGGCGACGAUCCUUAGCUGGUCUGAGAGGAUGACCAGCCACACUGGGACUGAGACACGGCCCAGACUCCUACGGGAGGCAGCA
rnacentral:rRNA from 1 species